CCUACGGGAGGCAGCAGUAGGGAAUAUUGGACAAUGGGCGAAAGCCUGAUCCAGCAAUGCCGCGUGAGUGAUGAAGGCCUUAGGGUUGUAAAGCUCUUUUACCCGGGAUGAUAAUGACAGUACCGGGAGAAUAAGCUCCGGCUAACUCCGUGCCAGCAGCCGCGGUAAUACGGAGGGAGCUAGCGUUGUUCGGAAUUACUGGGCGUAAAGCGCACGUAGGCGGCUAUUCAAGUCAGAGGUGAAAGCCCGGGGCUCAACCCCGGAACUGCCUUUGAAACUAGAUAGCUUGAAUCCAGGAGAGGUGAGUGGAAUUCCGAGUGUAGAGGUGAAAUUCGUAGAUAUUCGGAAGAACACCAGUGGCGAAGGCGGCUCACUGGACUGGUAUUGACGCUGAGGUGCGAAAGCGUGGGGAGCAAACAGGAUUAGAUACCCCUGUAGUC
rnacentral:rRNA from 1 species